rnacentral:rRNA from 1 species
CAGCAGCCGCGGGAAUACGAGGGGGGCAAGCGUUGUUCGGAAUUAUUGGGCGUAAAGGGUGCGUAGGCGGUUCGGUAAGUCUUAUGUGAAAUCUUCGGGCUCAACUCGAAGUCUGCAUGAGAAACUGCCGGGCUUGAGUGUGGGAGAGGUGAGUGGAAUUUCCGGUGUAGCGGUGAAAUGCGUAGAUAUCGGAAGGAACACCUGUGGCGAAAGCGGCUCACUGAACCACAACUGACGCUGAUGCACGAAAGCUAGGGGAGCAAACAGGAUUAGAUACCCCGGUAGUCCCUGUCUCUUAUAC